UGCCUAGUCAAUGAAAGAAUGUGCCGGAGGCCCUUCGAACAGUGUCAAGUACCUGGAAAACACUCAAGAAAUGCCAGUCAUCUUUCUGUCAUCAUCAUUACUCUUUGCAACCUUCUCACACACCUGCUGUUCUUAUUUGCUGACGAUUUUGAUGGUCUCGCAUGCACCCGUGCUUUUGUGCUGGAUGAUUCUUCCUCCUGGAGGUCUCUAUCUUUGACCUGUUCAUUCAUUCAUACCUAGUCACUCAUUCAUUCAUUCAUUCGCAAAGUUUUGCUGAAUCACAGCUGCUCACCCUGUAGACUCAUUUCAGUCAGCCCUUCCUUGCCAUUCCUACUGGAUUUACAACUCCUGUUUUUAAGUUAUUAAUUCUUCUGUAGCUCUCUGAAUAACUUGAAAGCAGAAAAAAAUGUCCUUUUCCCCACUGGAUUUACUUCCCUGAACCCAGGUCCUAAUAUGGCUGCCACAUAGUAGGAGCUUGAUCAAUAUUACUGAAUGAAUACUUGAAUGCCACGCAUCUCUGAAUCUGUCCCCAAUGCCUAGGAUAUUGUAGGUGCUCACCUAGGACUCUAUUCUCUUACAUGAAACCAAAUCACCCUGCAUUCCUAGCGCCUAGAGGUUGUGAUUGGGGGAGAGCCACUUUUAAUCAGCAUAUCUGGAUGUUUGCCACUUUCUGAACCAGAAAGCUUUCCCUGGUCCUGUUUGACCAAAGUUAAAGGUGACCAGUGGGGCUGUCUUCUGAAAAGUACAAGAGGAUGCCAUUUGCACCCAUGUUCCUUGGACCGUUCUGAGAGUCACCAAAGACUUCUCAACUGCCGUAUCUGCUGACCCAGUCCAGAGUGUAUGUCUCAUGGUGUCCUGGAACCCCAGUGCCUGGGAAUCAGGGAGGAAGGGAAAGAAAAGGAGAGGAAGGGAAGAAGCAGGGGAGGGAGGGAGAAAGGAAGAGGUCCUUCCCCAUUGGCCAACACCUUAGAGAUGAAGAAUUGGAGUCAAAAUGAUUGUCACACUAAGCCAAUGCUGUGGAUGGCAGCCUUUGGCCAAAACAGUCCCUCAGGCCUUCUUUCAUGAAUCUGAUUUCUUUGGCCGCUGACAUCUGGUCUUGCUUUGCAAGGUGGCUCUAGAACUGAAUCUGUCUCCUUUCUACCUCACCUCCUGUAAUCGCUGGGCUCUUUGGCUCCUUGGAGGUGGCAGGGUGGGAAGUUUGCUUGCUCUAGGGCAUGCUAGGAUAGCACUUUGUGUGCUGGGAGUGGCCUUACUGCCAAUGUUGGGAUCUGGAAAGGCUGAAUCUGGCAUCCAUCCCAUGAGACCCCUUUGGGGGACACAUGGGCUGUUGCCUGUUUAUGUCAGGGAGGAACUGCAAAUGAUUUUAUAGACAUUUUUCCCCUAAUACUAUUUAUGGAAGGUUGUUCUGACGUUGUCCUAACGUUAACUUCUUCUCAUCAAUUGUCCUACCUAAAACCACGCAUAGAUCCUGGGUGUUCACUUUUCUUGACUCCUGUGAAACAAAAAUAGUAUUAAUUGAUAUUUCAAUAUGUGACAGAGAUUUUGCAUGAUGUUUUCUCAUUUGACUCCUUUAUUCUUCACAAUAAUCCUGCAGAAUAGAUAUCACCAGUCCCUGUUCCAAGUAAGGAAAUUGUGGCUCAGAGAUCUUAAUUUCACAUCGCUGGUAUCUUUUCAUUACCUAUACAAUCUGACUGCCGCUUUAAUGGCCCUGCCUGAAUCACUUGCAGGGGUUUUUUUCAGGCUACUUUGGCAAUCAGUUUCUUCUGCAUCACACAUUACAUGCCUCGGCCACUGUGCUUGUAUUUCGUGGUCUCCUGUAACAUGGACUCAAACACUAAUUUGUUUGUAGUUAUUAUUUCUCGAAAGGAAAAAAAAAAAAAAGGCCCACUUAUGUUUCUCUUCUUUUAUCUUUCCAGACCCUGAGGGGCUGAUUCUCUGCAGCUCUUUUGGAGCAGAUGUGACCGGGAAAUCAAUACAGCCAUUAGAUUAAUCUGCGGCAACCAUAAUGUCAUUGCAUCUUUUGCCCUGUGAUGUUGACAGAGAUGUCAGAGCUAGGAGGAGGGGAGGCGCUUCAAAGAAGGAACGGGGCCUCCGAAGUGAAGGGGAGACUUGAAACCCCACGGAGCCUCACUUAACGGACGAAGGAUUGCGGGUGGCUGCCUCUGGCAUCAUCGGGUCUUCUGUCAGAGAAUGCAGUGACUUGGCAACGGGCAGAGCAGGGGGACCUGUAAAGCUCAGACAUCGGGAGGCCUCUCGGGAGGAUGAACUCAGCAGCAGUGGAGCAGUAGCCCGGUCUGGACUCUCUUUUCUUAUUUCCAGAUUCUCAGCCUCUCCCGAGGCAGGGCGGGGGUGGGAAGACCCCAUGGGAUUUCCUUCCAUUGCAUCUGGCCUUUUAAAAUUAUUAUUCUCAUUAUUAUUAAUAUUUCCUGACACAAGGAGAGAGGGUGUCCUUUAUAAGCACAGCGCUGGGUUCUUGGAAAGCAUUCAAGAUAUGUUUGGAUGGUGAAGGCUGCUCCCGUCCACAGCGCACAUUGGUACGGAACGCCUGCUAGUUCGGGCAGUGCUCCAGGUGCAGACGAGGGGGUGUGUGUGGGGGGGGGCGGGAUUUCUGCAGUGAACAAAAUAGACAAGACCCCUGCCUUCAGGGAGCUCACAUUCUAGUGGAGACCAAAAUCAAGCUAAGCCAUUAGCUUGAGUUUUCUCUCCCGCAGACUUGGCCAACUGCCCCCCCCCCCCCCCCAAUCUCUUCUCCUCUUCCUUUGUAGAGCAGUGGUUCUUAUCCAGGGGCACUUUUGCCACCACCCCCACCCCCCGCCCCACCCAAGAUAUUUGGCGAUGCCUAGAGACGGUGUUUGGCUGUCAUGACCUGUGUGUGUACGCAUGUGUGACUAGCGUCUGGCUCGUAGAAGCCAGGGAUGCUACCCAACAUCCUGCUGUGCUCAGGACACCCCCCACAACGAAGACCUUUCCAGCCUGCGGUAGCAGCCGACAGUGCUGAGACCCAGGAAGUCGGGUGGAGACAGAAGUGGCUGAGCAGCCGGUGACUACAUUUCCUAGCAUCCCUUGGAGCUAGGUGUGGCCAUGUGACUGGUUCUCACCAACGGAGUGGGGACAGGCGUGCUGUGCCCACGCCCACGUGCAAGGUUCUUAGUAAGUAGAUGGGCCUCUUUCCCGCCCCGCCCCGCACCCCCCUCACCCCCUAGGCUGGAUGAAGAGAACAGCAAGGUUAUUUGGUCUGGUGUUUUGUUUAUUCGUCAUAGACAUUUAUCUCUACAGAACAACUCAGAGGAUAAACAGAGGCACACGGCUGUAAUUGCCGCCACAAUCUGCUGCUGAGGAGACAUGCGACCCGAGGAUAAGGGGCUGGGAGCUGGAUGGGGUGUGUUGGGUCCCGGGAUAACUGGAGGCCCCUGUGAUGAACCACGUAGGGAUCCUAUCAGUCACGAUCUGACCCCCGGGCCUGAUGGUGACAGUGGAGCCACGCGGGGACCUAAAUCGCCAUGUGAGGAGAGCUGUCUGCCAGUCAGAGACACUCAGCUCGGACUUUCAUGAGAAAAGAUAAAGAGCAAAUGUUCAAGGAGGCCAGCAGGCCAGAGGACUCUCAUGUGCAAAGGAGAAAUGCAGCAUUUGUCAGAGCGCAAAACUGCUAAGCCAAGUGUACGUCCACAGGAGAAUGGACGAAAUGAACUCCUACAAAGAGCGUAAACGAACUAUAAAUAAGUGGAUUCGAGCGGCCUGUGCUGCGUCUAAAUGAAUCUCAGAAACAGUCUUAAGCAUCAAACCGUCUCAAAAAGGUAGAUAUCGGAUGAUGUCACAAAUAAUGUUACAAAUUGUGCCAUUCGGGGUCCCAGUAGGAAACGAAAGGCGAACUUGGAAUUCUGGAAAGAAGGAAAGGAAGGCACCUUUUCCAGGGGUGGUGGGUGUGGCGGACUGUUGCAUGGCCACAGAUUCCCACAUCGCUCCUUCCGUCCCGCGGUGGAAUCUGUUUUUCCAUCCCCAUUCAUCUGGGCUGGUUUUGUGACUUGUCUUGAUGAGAGACUGUGGCAAAAGUGACUUCAGGUAGGCUACACCGGGCCUGAAGUUUUCUCCCUUCACACCUUUUUAAAAAAUGUUUUGUUUAUUUUUUUGAGAGAGAGAGAGAGAAAGCAGGGGAGGGGGAGAGAGAGGGAGACAGAGCAUCAGAAGCAGGCUCUGUGCUGUCGGCGUGGAGCCUGACGCGGGGCUCAAACCCACGAACCUCGAGACCGCGACUUGAGCCGAAGUCGGAUGCUUCGCCGACUGAGCCACCCCGGUGCCCCUCUGUUCACACUUUUGAAAUGCGCUGACAUUACACAAAGGGGCCUGCACCAGCCUGCCAGAGGCCUUGUGGACAGAAAGACCCAACCGCCAGCCAGCGCUGACUGCCAGACGCAUGAGUGAGGCUGCCCGGGGCCCAGCCGGCCCCUAGCUGACCACGAGCGGGCUACCGACGUACGAGGAGAGCAGCCAGAACCGCUCCGAGCCGAGCUUCCUAGCUGAGUCCAGCUCAGAUUACCAACCCACAGGGUUAGGAACAAAACGCUGGUUAAUAUUUUCAACUAUUAAGUUUUGGCGUGUUUCGUUGGGAGUAUAUAAUCCACUUAGAAGGGUCAAGGAACCCGGAAGAGGAGCUCGGGCAUUGAAGUACAGUGGCAAGAGGAACUCAGCGGGUCUGAAUGAAUCAUCAUGAAGAAGCAUAACUUGUUGAGGCUUCCCAAGACACGGAAAGGAAUCUGGCCGACCUCUGUGUCGAAGCUUUACGAGACAGGUGUGAGCGGUAAGAGACCUACCGUAUAUUUUCUCUCCGACUCUUUGUUUCCUGGUAAUGGUGCACCUUCUCCACGUACACGAAGCUAGUCUGUGGUGAGAAAAAUCAGCAUUUGGAAGACCGGAACUUCGCUUGUCUCCUAAGAAGAACCUUACUUUUAUGGGCUACUUUGAUGAACACAUGAAAGCACACCUGGUGGAGGGUCCAAAACAUCACUACAAGCCCGGAGAUAAAGCAACCAGUCACAACAACAGAGAGCACAGAACACACUCCGAAAACCACCUCCUGAGGGGCCGAGCCCUAGGCAGUGCAUGACCCCUCUUUAAUAUAGUAGUGCUCGCAGGUACGGGACACAUAACAAGCUUUUAAAACACAUAAGGGACAGAAAACUAGCCAAAGUGAUGACACGGAAGAAUUCUCCUCAAAAGAAAUUCCGGGAAGAAAUGACAGCUAAAGAAUGGCUCAAAACAGAUAUAAACAAUAUAUCUGAUCAAGAAUUUAGAGUAACCGUCACAGAAAGUUAGUUGGGAUCAAACCCAUGAGGACUCUGAAUGUCCAGCCAAGGAAACUGGAUUUGAUUCUGUAGCCACUGGUAUGUCAAUAAAGGCUCUUGAAGAGAUAAGUGGAAUGACCCAGCUAGCAACUAGAAGGACAAAGUGAGAGUGAACACCUGAAAAUGGCACGUCCAAAUAACCCCAAAGCAGUGAGUCCCCAUCUAUGGGCUGGUUCACACACCUUUGUCAAUUGCUUAUUUGUCAAUAAAUAAUGUCUUUAUUUUCAUUUUCAA